UUACAGAUAUUUUGUUUAUUCUUAGUUUAUUUUUAUUUUAAAAGUAUGAAACUGAAUUUAAAAAGCUUUUCGACCUAAUUCGGGUCAAAUACAAAUACAAUUGCCGUGGAAACACCACAGCCACCAAAAGUAAUGACCGAAAAAAUUAUAUUCAAUAAAAUAUAGAAAUUGCCGGAAACAAAAAUCUUUGAGGGAAUCUGAGUUUUGAAUCCCUUGAACGAUAUUUCGGCAGUGCUUGUGAUGUUUCUGUGAGGUGAUGUGAGAGCAAGAGACUGAACUUAAGGUAAAGUUGAGUGUGAUUCGAAGCCAAACUGAUUGUGCGACAGGAACGUUUGCGUGAACGCUUGCCUCUUGAACUUCCUGGAGAUCGCGAUGACGAUGACAAUGCCGGCCAGGAACAUGGUGCAGAGGACGCCGGCGAGGAUCUUCACCAGCGUGGACUGCUGCUGGAGCGGCUCGGACACCACGGGGUCCAGGUCUGCACGGGGCACGGGCACAAUAACUAACCUCGGAGAGGCAGCCCCCACACAAAUACUUUUACGCUGUAGUUCGUCUGUUUGCUUUUACGGGUUCCUACAGACAGAGAAAAUCUGGAAAACAGGAAAAACUCAGGGUUUGGAAAGGUUUCUUCAGAACCUGGAAAAUACAGGGAAACUGAAUAAAUUUCAGCCACGAAACUGGCAAACCAACGGCUGUACUCAUGCUGGUACAACCACCAUGCCCAUGCACCAACUAAUCAAGAUCGCUACACACGAACAGGACAAAGAUUCCCCGAACAGCAGUCGCAUGCAGUCGCAGAACAAAUACCUUCACCGAGUUAUUGGACUCUAUGGUCUCGUUUAGGUCGGUCACCAAGCCCCUGAACCACUCAAGAUGGGGGUGAAGGUCGGACAGGAUUCUGCAGUAGAACUCUGCCGUAUCUCCUGGUUUCAACGUUGCGUUCUGGGGAGGCUCUGUCAGGAUUGGGCGGUGGUGAAGUCGCUCUAAACAACAUUCAACUCGAGCCCGUCACCAACGAAAACAGAAGAACAGUAAAGUGAGCAACUGCAAGCAACUAUCCAUUACCACGCUGAACUUUUCAAGCAAAAAAACUGCUGCCAGUGGUAUGAACAGUAAUUUGGUUUUUUUAAAUCUCAGCUACUGUAUCAUACCAAAAACAAUAAAAAGUUAAAAAGACUGAAAAUAAACUAACAAAAAAAUGGAGGCACUUUACAUAUUCGUUUUAGGUGAAAAUAAAAUUUGCUCAACAUUGUCAAAAACACUGUGUUGA